rnacentral:rRNA from 1 species
GCAGUUGAGCGCUGAAGGUUGGUACUUGUACCAGACUGGAUGAGCAGCGAACGGGUGAGUAACGCGUGGGGAAUCUGCCUUUGAGCGGGGGACAACAUUUGGAAACGAAUGCUAAUACCGCAUAAAAACUUUAAACACAAGUUUUAAGUUUGAAAGAUGCAAUUGCAUCACUCAAAGAUGAUCCCGCGUUGUAUUAGCUAGUUGGUGAGGUAAAGGCUCACCAAGGCGAUGAUACAUAGCCGACCUGAGAGGGUGAUCGGCCACAUUGGGACUGAGACACGGCCCAAACUCCUACGGGAGGCAGCAGUAGGGAAUCUUCGGCAAUGGACGAAAGUCUGACCGAGCAACGCCGCGUGAGUGAAGAAGGUUUUCGGAUCGUAAAACUCUGUUGGUAGAGAAGAACGUUGGUGAGAGUGGAAAGCUCAUCAAGUGACGGUAACUACCCAGAAAGGGACGGCUAACUACGUGCCAGCAGCCGCGGUAAUACGUAGGUCCCGAGCGUUGUCCGGAUUUAUUGGGCGUAAAGCGAGCGCAGGUGGUUUAUUAAGUCUGGUGUAAAAGGCAGUGGCUCAACCAUUGUAUGCAUUGGAAACUGGUAGACUUGAGUGCAGGAGAGGAGAGUGGAAUUCCAUGUGUAGCGGUGAAAUGCGUAGAUAUAUGGAGGAACACCGGUGGCGAAAGCGGCUCUCUGGCCUGUAACUGACACUGAGGCUCGAAAGCGUGGGGAGCAAACAGGAUUAGAUACCCUGGUAGUCCACGCCGUAAACGAUGAGUGCUAGAUGUAGGGAGCUAUAAGUUCUCUGUAUCGCAGCUAACGCAAUAAGCACUCCGCCUGGGGAGUACGACCGC